AGUCAAGUAAUUAAGUGCAUGUGGUGGAUGCCUUGGCAGUCAGAGGCGAUGAAAGACGUGAUAGCCUGCGAAAAGCUCCGGGGAGGCGGCAAAUAUCCUUUGAUCCGGAGAUGUCUGAAUGGGGGAACCCACCUACUUUAAGGUAGGUAUUGCAACAUGAAUACAUAGUGUUGCAAGGCGAACGAGGGGAAGUGAAACAUCUCAGUACCCUUAGGAAAAGAAAUCAAUUGAGAUUCCCUCAGUAGCGGCGAGCGAACGGGGAUCAGCCCAUUAAGUUAUGUGUGUUUUAGUGGAACGCUCUGGGAAGUGCGAACGUAGAGGGUGAUAUUCCCGUACACGAAAGGGCACACAUAAUGAUGACGAGUAGGGCGAGGCACGUGAAACCUUGUCUGAAUAUGGGGGGACCAUCCUCCAAGGCUAAAUACUCCUGACUGACCGAUAGUGAACCAGUACCGUGAGGGAAAGGCGAAAAGAACCCCUGUGAGGGGAGUGAAAUAGAUCCUGAAACCGCAUGCAUACAAGCAGUGGGAGCACCUUCGUGGUGUGACUGCGUACCUUUUGUAUAAUGGGUCAGCGACUUAUAUUCAGUAGCGAGGUUAACCGUAUAGGGGAGCCGUAGAGAAAUCGAGUCUUAAUAGGGCGUUUAGUUGCUGGGUAUAGACCCGAAACCAGGCGAUCUAUCCAUGAGCAGGUUGAAGGUUGGGUAACACUAACUGGAGGACCGAACCCACUGUCGUUGAAAAGCCAGGGGAUGACUUGUGGAUAGGGGUGAAAGGCUAAUCAAGCCUGGUGAUAGCUGGUUCUCCCCGAAAGCUAUUUAGGUAGCGCCUCGGACGAAUACCAUAGGGGGUAGAGCACUGUUUCGGCUAGGGGGUCAUCCCGACUUACCAAACCGAUGCAAACUCCGAAUACCUAUGAGUACUAUCCGGGAGACAGACUGCGGGUGCUAACGUCCGUAGUCAAGAGGAAAACAAUCCAGACCGCCAGCUAAGGCCCCAAAAUCAUAGUUAAGUGGGAAACGAUGUGGGAAGGCAUAGACAGCUAGGAGGUUGGCUUAGAAGCAGCCACCCUUUAAAGAAAGCGUAAUAGCUCACUAGUCGAGUCGGCCUGCGCGGAAGAUGUAACGGGGCUAAAACUAUGUGCCGAAGCUGCGGAUGUAUACUUUGUAUACGUGGUAGGGGAGCGUUCUGUAAGCCGAUGAAGGUGUGUUGAGAAGCAUGCUGGAGGUAUCAGAAGUGCGAAUGCUGACGUGAGUAACGACAAAACGGGUGAAAAACCCGUUCGCCGAAAGACCAAGGGUUCCAGUCCAACGUUAAUCGGGGCUGGGUGAGUCGACCCCUAAGGCGAGGCCGAAAGGCGUAGUCGAUGGGAAAAUGGUUAAUAUUCCAUUACUUCUGUGUAAUGCGAUGAGAGGACGGAGAAGGCUAAAUCAGCCUGGCGUUGGUUGUCCAGGUGAAAGGAUGUAGGCAUGUAUCUUAGGCAAAUCCGGGGUACUCUAUGCUGAGAUCUGAUAGCAAGCUGUACUUGUACAGCGAAGUGGUUGAUGCCAUGCUUCCAGGAAAAGUCUCUAAGCUUCAGUUACACAGGAAUCGUACCCGAAACCGACACAGGUGGUCAGGUCGAGUAGACCAAGGCGCUUGAGAGAACUCUGCUGAAGGAACUAGGCAAAAUGGUACCGUAACUUCGGGAGAAGGUACGCUGUUGUUGGUGAUGGAACUCGCUUCCUGAGCUGACGACAGCCGCAGAAACCAGGCCGCUGCAACUGUUUAUUAAAAACAUAGCACUCUGCAAACACGAAAGUGGACGUAUAGGGUGUGAUGCCUGCCCGGUGCUGGAAGGUUAAUUGAUGGGGUUAGCGUAAGCGAAGCUCUUGAUCGAAGCCCCAGUAAACGGCGGCCGUAACUAUAACGGUCCUAAGGUAGCGAAAUUCCUUGUCGGGUAAGUUCCGACCUGCACGAAUGGCAUAAUGAUGGCGGCGCUGUCUCCAGCAGAGGCUCAGUGAAAUCGAAAUCGCUGUGAAGAUGCAGUGUACCCGCGGCUAGACGGAAAGACCCCGUGAACCUUUACUGCAGCUUGACACUGAACUUUGACCUUACUUGUGUAGGAUAGGUGGGAGGCUUUGAAGCUGGAACGCUAGUUCCAGUGGAGCCGUCCUUGAAAUACCACCCUGGUAAUGUUGAGGUUCUAACUCUGUCCCGUGAUCCGGGACGAGGACCGUGUCUGGUGGGUAGUUUGACUGGGGCGGUCUCCUCCUAAAGAGUAACGGAGGAGUACGAAGGUGCGCUCAGCGUGGUCGGAAAUCACGCGUAGAGUAUAAAGGCAAAAGCGCGCUUAACUGCGAGACCCACAAGUCGAGCAGGUACGAAAGUAGGUCUUAGUGAUCCGGUGGUUCUGUAUGGAAGGGCCAUCGCUCAACGGAUAAAAGGUACUCUGGGGAUAACAGGCUGAUACCGCCCAAGAGUUCAUAUCGACGGCGGUGUUUGGCACCUCGAUGUCGGCUCAUCUCAUCCUGGGGCUGAAGCAGGUCCCAAGGGUAUGGCUGUUCGCCAUUUAAAGAGGUACGCGAGCUGGGUUUAGAACGUCGUGAGACAGUUCGGUCCCUAUCUACCGUGGGCGCUGGAAAUUUGAGAGGAUCUGCUCCUAGUACGAGAGGACCAGAGUGGACGAACCUCUGGUGUACCGGUUGUGACGCCAGUCGCAUCGCCGGGUAGCUAUGUUCGGAAGGGAUAACCGCUGAA
rnacentral:rRNA from 1 species